GAAUUCCACGUGUAGCGGUGAAAUGCGUAGAGAUGUGGAGGAAUACCAGUGGCGAAGGCGCCUUGCUGGACAGUGACUGACGCUGAGGCACGAAAGCGUGGGGAGCAAACAGGAUUAGAUACCCUGGUAGUCCACGCCGUAAACGAUGAGUGCUAGGUGUUGGGGGUUCAUCCCCUCAGUGCCGAAGGAAACCCAAUAAGCACUCCGCCUGGGGAGUACGGUCGCAAGACUGA
rnacentral:rRNA from 1 species